GAGGGCACAUGGGGGCGGGUGGGGUCCUGGGCUCCCCGGGCCGGGCCCCAGCAUGGGCAGUGCCUACCAUUGGGAGGCCCGGCGCAGGCAGAUGGCUCUGGACAGGAGGCAGAGGCUGCUGGCUGAGCAGGAGCAACAGGCACUGAAGAAAGGCCAGGAGGAGGAGGAACAGCCCUCUGAGAGACCCCAGCCACAGCCGGGCCCCACGGCGCCUGGGCCGAUGCGGGUACAACUGCAGUCUCUGUCACCGCGCCCCAGGGGACAGGGCGCCCUGCCUCAGUGCGACCUCCAGACCAGGCAGCCGCCCCACGGGGACCGCAGACCCCAGGCCUGGCCACCCAUCCUCCCUGGACCUGGCCUCACGAACCCAUGCCAGCCUGGACCUGCUAAAAAUACCGGGUACUCACGACUCACGCCCUUAGGGCCUUGCUACAUUGCUCCUUGACCCCAGACUUGUGCUCUUCCCGCAUCGCAUCCCAAGCAGCUGGGUUCCAGUCAACUGAUUACAUCCAGCAGUGGUGACCCGGACUUGGACUGCAGGACCCCGCCCACCGUCGCCAAGAAGGAG